UGUUAUUUAAUUAUUUUAUUUUGUUAUUAUUUUUUAUUUAAUUUGAGUUAUUUUUAAUAUUUAUUUUUUUUAGUAUUGAUUAUGAAAUGAUUUUAUUUAUUAUAUUUUAUUAGUACUGUAAAGGGUUUUAUUUUUGUUAGUUGUUUAGUAGAUUUUAUUUUGUACCUUUUGUAUCAGGGUGGAUUUAAUAAUUAUUAUUUAUUUAUUUUUCUCGAAUUAAAUAGAUCUAAUUAUAUAUUUUAGUUAAAGUUUCAUAUUUAUUAAUUAUUUAUUUUUAGGUGUGAUAUGCUAAUCAUUAUUUAUGAUUUCUAGUUUCUUAAUAAUUGAAUUUAAUUUAGCUAUUAUUUUAUAUUGUUAAUUUUAUUUUUAAUAAUAUAUAUAUUUAAUAGUAAUAUUUUGGGGGAUUAGCUUCAUUUUAUUUAUUAAAAUUUAUUUUUUUUUGUUUUGUUGAAUAGGCUUUAUAUUGGCUAUUUUUAUUUAGUAUUUUAUAAUUUAUUAAAAUUUAUUUUUGAUUUAUUUGAAUUUAAUUAUUUAUUAAGAUUAUUUUUUUAAUUUUAUAUUAAUUUUAAUAAUGAUUUAAUUAGUAUAUUUUGUUUUGUUUUGUUAAUUAUUUUUUAAAUAUUUAAAAGGAACUAGGCAAUAAUUUAUUUACUCGCCUGUUUAUCAAAAACAUCUUUUUUUGUGAAUAAUUUAAAAUUUGUCCUGCCCAAUGAUUAUUUUAAUGGCCGCGGUAUUUUGACCGUGCAAAGGUAGCAUAAUCAUUAGUCUAUUAAUUGUGGGCUUGUAUGAAUGGUUUGACGAAGUAUUAACUGUCUCUUUAAUAAUAUUGUAAUUUAAAUUUUUAGUUAAAAUGCUGAAAUUUUUUUAUGGGACGAGAAGACCCUAUAGAUCUUUAUAUUUUAAUUUUUUAUUAUUUUUGGCUUAUUUUUUAUUUAUUGAUUAAAAUGUUUUGUUGGGGUGACAUUGAGAUAUGUUUAACUCUUUAUAUUUUUAUACAUUGAUUUUUGUUUUAUUGACCUUUUAAUAUUGUUAUAAGAUAUAGAUACCUUAGGGAUAACAGCGUAAUUUUUCUUGAGAGUUCAUAUCGACAGAAAAGUUUGCGACCUCGAUGUUGGAUUAAGAUAAAAAUUAGGCGUAGGUGCUUAAUUAUUUGGUCUGUUCGACCUUUAAAUUCUUACAUGAUCUGAGUUCAAACCGGCGUGAGCCAGGUUGGUUUCUAUCUUUAAUUAUCUAUUUUAUAUUAGUACGAAAGGACCAUAUAGAUUAAAUAUUUUAAUUAGUUGAUUAUUUU
rnacentral:rRNA from 1 species